rnacentral:rRNA from 1 species
ACCGGGCUCUGAAAAGUAGGGGCCCGGAGAUGGGUACUGAGACACGGACCCAGGCCCUAUGGGCGCAGCAGGCGAGAAACCUUUGCAAUGUGCGAAAGCACGACAAGGUUAAUCCGAGUGUCUCCUGCUAAAGGAGUCUUUUGUCAGUUGUAGAAUCAUUGGUGAAUAAGGGGUGGGCAAGUUCUGGUGUCAGCCGCCGCGGUAAAACCAGCACCUCGAGUGGUCAGGAGGUUUAUUGGGCCUAAAGCAUCCGUAGCCGGUUGCAUAAGUUUUCGGUUAAAUCUAUGCGCUUAACGUAUAGGCCGCCGAAAAUACUGUGCAGCUAGGGAGUNGGGAGAGGUACACGGUACUCGAUAGGAAGGGGUAAAAUCCUUUGAUCUAUUGAUGACCACCUGUGGCGAAGGCGGUGUACCAGAACACGUUCGACGGUGAGNNGGAUGAAAGCUGGGGGAGCCAAAANNCCCCGGGAAUUAGAUACCCGGUAGCC